UACGAAGGGGGCUAGCGUUGUUCGGAAUUACUGGGCGUAAAGCGCACGCAGGCGGCUCGAUAAAUUAGAAGUGAAAGCCCCGGGCUUAACCUGGGAAUUGCUUUUAAGACUGUCGGGCUAGAAUCCAGAAGAGGGUAGUGGAAUUCCGAGUGUAGAGGUGAAAUUCGUAGAUAUUCGGAAGAACACCAGUGGCGAAGGCGGCUCACUGGCCCGUUACCGACGCUCAGGCGCGACAGCGUGGGGAGCAAACAGG
rnacentral:rRNA from 1 species